rnacentral:rRNA from 1 species
GCAAGUCGAGCGGUAGCACAGAGAGCUUGCUCUCGGGUGACGAGCGGCGGACGGGUGAGUAAUGUCUGGGAAACUGCCUGAUGGAGGGGGAUAACUACUGGAAACGGUAGCUAAUACCGCAUAACGUCGCAAGACCAAAGUGGGGGACCUUCGGGCCUCAUGCCAUCAGAUGUGCCCAGAUGGGAUUAGCUAGUAGGUGGGGUAACGGCUCACCUAGGCGACGAUCCCUAGCUGGUCUGAGAGGAUGACCAGCCACACUGGAACUGAGACACGGUCCAGACUCCUACGGGAGGCAGCAGUGGGGAAUAUUGCACAAUGGGCGCAAGCCUGAUGCAGCCAUGCCGCGUGUGUGAAGAAGGCCUUCGGGUUGUAAAGCACUUUCAGCGGGGAGGAAGGCGWURAGGUUAAUAACCUYGKCGAUUGACGUUACCCGCAGAAGAAGCACCGGCUAACUCCGUGCCAGCAGCCGCGGUAAUACGGAGGGUGCAAGCGUUAAUCGGAAUUACUGGGCGUAAAGCGCACGCAGGCGGUCUGUCAAGUCGGAUGUGAAAUCCCCGGGCUCAACCUGGGAACUGCAUUCGAAACUGGCAGGCUAGAGUCUUGUAGAGGGGGGUAGAAUUCCAGGUGUAGCGGUGAAAUGCGUAGAGAUCUGGAGGAAUACCGGUGGCGAAGGCGGCCCCCUGGACAAAGACUGACGCUCAGGUGCGAAAGCGUGGGGAGCAAACAGGAUUAGAUACCCUGGUAGUCCACGCCGUAAACGAUGUCGAUUUGGAGGUUGUGCCCUUGAGGCGUGGCUUCCGGAGCUAACGCGUUAAAUCGACCGCCUGGGGAGUACGGCCGCAAGGUUAAAACUCAAAUGAAUUGACGGGGGCCCGCACAAGCGGUGGAGCAUGUGGUUUAAUUCGAUGCAACGCGAAGAACCUUACCUGGUCUUGACAUCCACAGAACUUUCCAGAGAUGSAUUGGUGCCUUCGGGAACUGUGAGACAGGUGCUGCAUGGCUGUCGUCAGCUCGUGUUGUGAAAUGUUGGGUUAAGUCCCGCAACGAGCGCAACCCUUAUCCUUUGUUGCCAG